ACGGGGGGUGCAAGCGUUGUUCGGAAUUAUUGGGCGUAAAGGGCGCGUAGGCGGCUAAGCAAGUCAGAUGUGAAAUACCUGGGCUCAACCCGGGAACUGCAUUUGAAACUGCUUAGCUUGAGUACAGGAGAGGAAAAUGGAAUUCCUGGUGUAGAGGUGAAAUUCGUAGAUAUCAGGAGGAACACCGGUGGCGAAGGCGACUUUCUGGCCUUAUACUGACGCUGAGACGCGAGAGCGUGGGUAGCAAACAG
rnacentral:rRNA from 1 species